UCAGCUAAACGCACUCCAUUAAGAUCAUAAAUGAAGAAACUUUGGUUAAUUUCAGAGCAGAUUUGGAAUGCCAUGAAGGGUUAUGGAGGCGUGAGCCCACCAGAACGUAGCCCUCCCAUUUUCCGUUUUGUUGUGCCUAACCCAGCCCCCCACCCACCGCGCUCCAGUAUGAAGUAAUGGGAUGCUAUUGAAGAUGCUGCCUUUGAUGUCUGGAAGCAGAUGGGCAGAGGAGGAGAGCUGCGUGCUGACAGGUAUCUCUCUCAUCAUGUCUGAAGUCCAGAGGGGAUGUGAAGCUCUGCAAGACACACACUGAAGGAGACUGCGUUGAUUGUUCUGGCAAGUGUUUUGACUCCUCACCUCACUUCACCUGAAAUUAAACCCUGCCAACGAGACAUUUAGAUGCUGAUGUUAGCCAAAUUAGCCUCCUACAGACAUUGACGCUCAUUUAUGGCCUUUCUGCUGAUUAUAAUUUCCCCCA
ensembl:lncRNA